GACGAACGCUGGCGGCGUGCUUAACACAUGCAAGUCGAACGGUAAGGCCCUUCGGGGUGCACGAGUGGCGAACGGGUGAGUAACACGUGGGUGAUCUGCCCUGCACUUCGGGAUAAGCCUGGGAAACUGGGUCUAAUACCGGAUAGGACCACUGCCUGCAUGGGUGGUGGUGGGAAGCUUUUGCGGUGUGGGAUGGGCCCGCGGCCUAUCAGCUUGUUGGUGGGGUGAUGGCCUACCAAGGCGACGACGGGUAGCCGGCCUGAGGGGGUGACCGGCCACACUGGGACUGAGGUACGGCCCAGACUCCUACGGGAGGCAGCAGUGGGGAAUAUUGCACAAUGGGCGCAAGCCUGAUGCAGCGACGCCGCGUGAGGGAUGACGGCCUUCGGGUUGUAAACCUCUUUCAGCACCGACGAAGCGCAAGUGACGGUAGGUGCAGAAGAAGGACCGGCCAACUACGUGCCAGCCGCCGCAGUAA
rnacentral:rRNA from 1 species